ensembl:snRNA U2 U2 spliceosomal RNA
AUUGCAUCUUGGCCUUUUGGCCAAAACUAAGUGUAGUAUCUGUUCUUAUCAGUUCAGCAAACUUUGAAAAAAUAAAUAAAUAAAUGAAUUUUGGCAAAAUCAGGAAAUUUUUUUAAAAGUAUGCUUUGCUAAUCAUCUCCAUCCUCGGGGCAACCUCU